AUGUACGGUGAGUCCCCUCCCCCUCCCUUCCCCGUUCAUCUAGCUUCUAGGAGCACUACGCAUGCAUGUGCACCUGUGUGUGUUGGGUUUGAUCCAUGGAGUCCCCGCAAAAGAAGGCUCCUGCAUCCAUGGACGGCAGUGCUGCCGGUGACCCUGUCCCUGGCCAAGAAGACGCCUCGUCCUGAUCUUGUCCGAGGAGUCAGUUCAUGGGCGCUCCUCACCGCCUGCCACAUCGCGCUCUCCUUGGCCAUCGGCACCGUAAUAGCCUACGCACUCUACCACUUCCACGUCCGUUGCAGCCAGUCCUCCUUCUUUCUGCGCUGCGACCAGCUUACGGACGCGGAGGAAGCCAUGGUGAACGCCCUAGGGAUCGGGCUGCUGUGCUGCCUCGUGCUCCAGGCGGCCGCGGCGGUGCUGGCCCUGCGGCUCCCGUGCCGCCGCCGUCGCCGCGCCCUCGCCUACCUCGCGCUCGUGCUCACUAUCGUCGGCCACUUCAUCAUGGCCGCCAUAGCCCAUAUCCUCCUCGUCGCCGACCCAGGAGACCUCUUCUUCCGGAUCUGCUCCACCGGGGGCCUCUUCAUCUACGCAGCGGGAGACAUCAUCAGCUUCUUGGCCCUCCUCCUCGGCAGCGGUGAGGAGUAG
rnacentral:rRNA from 1 species